rnacentral:rRNA from 1 species
ACUAAUCCUAGCCCUAGCCUUCACAAAUAUAAUUACAUCAUUUCAUAAAUCAAAACAUUUAACCCACUAAAAGUAUUGGAGAAAGAAAUUAGUUCAUCUAGGAGCUAUAGAACUAGUACCGUAAGGGAAAGAUGAAAGAUCAAUUAAAAGUAAAAAUAAGCAAAGAUUAAACCUUGUACCUUUUGCAUAAUGAAUUAACUAGAAAACUUCUAACUAAAAGAAUUACAGCUAGAAACCCCGAAACCAAACGAGCUACCUAAAAACAAUUUAAUGAAUCAACUCGUCUAUGUGGCAAAAUAGUGAGAAGAUUUUUAGGUAGAGGUGAAAAGCCUAACGAGCUUGGUGAUAGCUGGUUACCCAAAAAAUGAAUUUAAGUUCAACUUUAAACUUGCUAAAAAAACAAUAAAAUCAAAAAGUAAGUUUAAAUUAUAGCCAAAAGAGGGACAGCUCUUUUGGAACGGAAAAAACCUUUAAUAGUGAAUAAUUAACAAAUCAACCUUUAACCAUUGUAGGCCUAAAAGCAGCCACCAACAAAGAAAGCGUUCAAGCUCAACAUAAAAUUUUAACUAAUCUCACAAUUUACAUCAACUUCCUAAACUUAAAAUUGGGUUAAUCUAUAGUUUUAUAGAUGCAACACUGUUAGUAUGAGUAACAAGAAUUCUAAUUCUCCAGGCAUACGCAUAUAACAACUCGGAUAACCAUUGUUAGUUAAUCAAACUAUAGGCAAUACUUAUAAUAUAAACAAUUUACCUAUAACUACUCUGUUAACCCAACACCGGAAUGCCUUAAGGAAAGAUCUAAAAAGAUAAAAGGAACUCGGCAAACAAGAACCCCGCCUGUUUACCAAAAACAUCACCUCUAGCAUAACAAGUAUUAGAGGCACUGCCUGCCCAGUGACUAAAGUUUAACGGCCGCGGUAUCCUGACCGUGCAAAGGUAGCAUAAUCACUUGUUCCUUAAUUAGGGACUAGCAUGAAUGGCUAAACGAGGGUUCAACUGUCUCUUAUCUUUAAUCAGUGAAAUUGACCUUUCAGUGAAGAGGCUGAAAUACAAUAAUAAGACGAGAAGACCCUAUGGAGCUUAAAUUACACGACUUAUCUAUUUCAUUUUAUAAACCUAAUGGCCCAAAAACUAUAGUGUAAGUCUGAAAUUUCGGUUGGGGUGACCUCGGAGAAUAAAAAAUCCUCCGAAUGAUUAUAACCUAGACCUACAAGUCAAAGUAAAAUCAACAUAUCUUAUUGACCCAAUACAUUUUGAUCAACGGACCAAGUUACCCUAGGGAUAACAGCGCAAUCCUAUUUAAGAGUUCAUAUCGACAAUCAGGGUUUACGACCUCGAUGUUGGAUCAGGACAUCCCAAUGGUGUAGAAGCUAUUAAUGGUUCGUUUGUUCAACGAUUAAAGUCCUACGUGAUCUGAGUUCAGACCGGAGCAAUCCAGGUCGGUUUCUAUCUAUUUACAAUUUCUCCCAGUACGAAAGGACAAGAGAAAUAGAGCCACCUUACAAAUAAGCGCUCUCAACUUAAUUUAUGAAUAUAUCUUAAUAAAAUAUGUAUGUACAUCCUCUAACCUAGAGAAGGUU